rnacentral:rRNA from 1 species
CCUACGGGUGGCAGUAGUGGGGAAUAUUGCACAAUGGGGGAAACCCUGAUGCAGCGACGCCGCGUGAAGGAAGAAGUCUUUCUGUAUGUAACCUUCUCUCAGCAGGGAAGAAAAUGACGGUACCUGCCUAAUCAGCCCCGGCUAACUACGUGCCAGCAGCCGCGGUCAUACGUAGGGGGCAGUCGUUAUCCGGAUUUACUGGGUGUAAAGGGCGCGUAGGCGGUGGAGCCAGUCAGAAGUGAAAGCCCGGGGCUCAACUCCGGGACUGCUUUUGAAACUGUUGAACUAGAUUGCAGGAGAGGUAAGUGGAAUUCCUAGUGUAGCGGUGAAAUGCGGAGAUAUUAGGAGGAACACCAGUGGCGAAGGCGGCUUACGGGACUGGAAAUGACGCUGAGGCUCGAAAGCGUGGGGAGCAAACAGGAUUAGAUACCCCAGUAGUC